UACGGAGGGCGCGAGCGUUGUCCGGAAUCACUGGGCGUAAAGGGCGCGUAGGCGGCCUGAUAAGUAGGGGGUGAAAUCCUGCGGCUUAACCGCAGGGCUGCCUUCUAAACUGUCAGGCUGGAGCACAGUAGAGGCAGGUGGAAUUCCCGGUGUAGCGGUGGAAUGCGUAGAGAUCGGGAAGAACACCGGUGGCGCAAGCGGCUUGCUGGGCUGUAGCUGACGCUGAAGCGCGACAGCGUGGGGAGCAAACAGG
rnacentral:rRNA from 1 species